rnacentral:misc_RNA from 1 species
UUUCCGUAGGUGAACCUGCGGAAGGAUCAUUACCGAGUACCGGUACCCUUUGGGUGCCUGCUCCCACCAUUUGUGAACCUUUUUCGUUGCCUCGGCGGACCGGUGGUUCUCCACCCUUCGGCGAAAGCUGGAGAGCGUCCGCCAGAGGAAUUUUCAAACCCGUUUAAUUUUGAAAUCUGAGUUAAACAAAAAUAAAAACAAAACUUUCAACAACGGAUCUCUUGGUUCUGGCAUCGAUGAAGAACGCAGC